rnacentral:lncRNA from 1 species
AAACUACAAGGCUUGGGGUCGUGCAGCUACUAAACGUGUACUAUUUAAAUUAUAACAGACCUAUGAUCUCAUUCUACUUUCAGUGCGCAUUUGAGUGUCCCUGGCAACGCCACGCUUCCGCCUUCUGGAAGCCUGCACUCCAGCUUCGAGUGUGAGAGACCCGUCCCGGUGGGAGGGACCUGGGCUGGGGGGGACGGUAGGGGAACAAGGAGGUGGGACUGGGGAAGCUUCUGGGAACAUUUGCUCUAGGUAUUCAGCUAAACUAAGAAAAACUGGUCCAAGGCUCGGCACAAAAGGAUCUUCUCAUUCCAGUCCUUUCGCCCACGCAGGGAACGAUGCCUCUGGAGGUGGUGGUGGAGCUGCAGAUCCGGGC